AGGUGGGCUGGCUGAUGGUGGUAUGGCCAUUCCUUGUGUGGUUGAACUCGGUGGAAGGUGGAAGCUGCUCCUUUCCAAGGAUGCCUCAUUUCAUCUUUUGUAACCCUCAGCUCUCAGCCACACACUAAGCCUCCUACAAGAGCUGCCUUUCCAAUUCAGUAGAUCUUGAAAGAUCAUUCGGAGGAAUAACAUCAAAGCAUACCUUGCAUAGCAGUGGAGACCCUUGUCUUUGAGGCAUACUUUGCAUCUCCCAAGAAGUGUCAGCUCUGCCCUCCACAAGAACACAGUCAGCUGCAGCCUGGCUCAUCUCUUUGGCCCCUCUGCUGAGGUUUAGAGUGGAUGUUGCCUGGCUUUGUGGGACUUGCACUUGUCUUCUCUGAAGUACAGAUGCUGUAUCUGUAAAGCAAACGCCAUCCCCACCUCAAAACAGGUACUGUCCAAGUCUAGAAGUAGAAUAUCUUUUCCAUAUUAACUCAAUGAGGAGUUUUUUGCAGAAGCUCUUAUAGACAUUUGUUUAUUGGUUGAAUUUUUAUCCUCACCCUUAAGACACAUACAGUAUUGCUCUAUUACUUAUAGUAAAAUGUAGAACAUGUUAGCAUGGAUAUGAUGUUAGCAUGUUUACUAUUUGACACUCCCUCCCCUCUGGAUUCUCCUGUUCAGGACUUAAUGCCAACUGAACCAUAGAGAAUAUAUCAGAGGAAUUCCUCAGAAUCUCCUUCUAAUGAGUGUUUCAGAAUGGAGUGAGUGGCCACUAUUUAAGGCAAUUAAAUCCCUCUGCAGGCCCCCAGUUCUGUGUAACCCACGUUGUAUUUACUUCUACACUGCAGAUUUUAAAGAAAAUGUAACAUUGGGGUGAAACUCUUGUGUCCUUCCUUGGAAAGUUAAUUCAUUUGAGCAGAAAUAUCAGUAUUUACCAGCCCAUGUCACUUCAUCUACAGUUUUGAAAGCUGAUGUGCCUGUUGGCUUGGGAAGCCUUAGACAUGAUAUAGUGGUCAUAUGUUUAAGGGAUACAGCAGACUGAUGAUUCAGUAGGAAGUUUUGAGGUUUACCAGAGUCUAAGUACCUGCAAGCAAAUAUUAGUGAAGACUUUUUUACAUCUGAAAGGUCCCAUUGAGCUGAACCACGCCAGCCCCACCUUUCAGUAGAAAGUGGUGGAUUUGUCUCCAAAGAAUGACAAAAACUUUAGCUGUUUAUUAGCAUUCCCUCAGGGCUCAGUGGAAGCUGUCACCUGGAGCCCAAUAAGUAAUGCUAGUGAGUGUCUGUGUGGAAGAUUCUGGAUUCAGCAGGGCUGCUGUGUAGCUCCAGACACCCACUGGACACAUUUUUGCAAGCCAACAGAUAACCCAGCUGACAGCAGCAAGUGACUUUAUGUACAUCCAAAUGCCACUUGACCUCUCAUCUUGGUCUGCCGCACAAAAUUAGAGACAAUUAUUGUCUGUUUCAUCAGCUCAUGGCUUCAGAAUUUUACAUGGUGUUUUUUUUUCUGGUCAAUAGUUUGGAAAAGGAGAAUUGUGAUGAAUUCUAAGGCAAAUAUUUUUCAAAAGUUGAAAAGCUACACUUGCUGAAUAGGAAGAUGGGUUAUGUCAGUCAUUCAGAGCAGAAGAGUCAGUGUGUGUUCAGUUAAAGGGCUCAGUUGUCCCACAGCCUAAUACAGGGAGCAAAACCAUCCUGUUCCAUGGCCACUCUGGCUCUUCUGGGAUUGCACUUUGGUAUCAGAGUGAGAACAAAGGUUGGGUCUGUGAAGAGGAAGGAGCCCAAGGGUCAAAUCUGCAUGGUGCUGUCCCUUGAUUGUGUAGGUGUGAGGGAGGGGGAACAAAAUGCUUUUUAAGAAGAAAUAUUACAUAUUCUUUUUCCUCCCUCAGUCCAGGAGAAAAAAAGAUAAGGGAAUUACAACUCCAAGCUGUUCUCCUGCCUGCACUUGUUUUUCAGAAUGCAGGUGUGCAGUGCUGUAUCUCAGAGUUAUCCAUACAAUAACAAUUCUUAUUACAUUAGAGGAGAGUUCUGAAGAAGAAUGGCACUUCCUUCCCUUGGAGACAUUUGGACAGAGGCCAGAAUUUUGGGAAGCUGCAAUAUAAAAUGGCCACAUGUGGCUAUCUGGGGUGAAGCACCCAAUUUUUAGUUACAAGAGUUAAAUUUUACAUCUCUUAGGUAAAAAGCUUUAAAGAAACAUGAAUGAAAAAACCCCAUGGCUUCCAGACCUCUUCAAGGAUAUGAG